UAGCCGUAAACGAUACUCGCUAGGUGUCGGCCACGGUGCGACCGUUGUCGGUGCCGUAGGGAAGCCGUGAAGCGAGCCACCUGGGAAGUACGGCCGCAAGGCUGAAACUUAAAGGAAUUGGCGGGGGAACACAACAACGGGUGGAGCUUGCGGUUUAAUUGGAUUCAACGCCGGAAAUCUUACCGGGACCGACAGCAACAUGAAGGCCAAGCUGAAGACUUUGCCGGAUUAGCUGAGAGGAGGUGCAUGGCGUAGUCGUGU
rnacentral:rRNA from 1 species